GAAUGGUCUGUUUUGGAGCUAGAAUAGCUUCAGCCCCAAAAUGCAGCUAUUCUGGUUCUUGGAGCGAGAAUAGCUUCAGCCCCAAAAUGCAGCUAUUCUGGUUCUAAAAUGACAGUACGAUGUGCAUAACAUAAUAGCUGGGGAAAACAGGAUUCCCAGUGCUCAGUCCUGGGGAUGGAUCACGGUAGACUGAAGGUUGAGAGGAACAGUUGGCGAUAAUGGAAUGAUUUGUUUAGCAUGCUGUUGAGAGGUGGACUUUUGCGGGAGAGUGUAGGGCGUGGAUUUGAGUGAUACUGGUAAUAAAAAAGGCAGAGGGGUGAAAAAACAUUUCAUUUGUAAGCCUUCCGGAGGAGCAUGUUGGUGGGUGGAUUUGUCGUGUGAUUGAAAACAUGAAUACCAGUCAGGUCACAUCAUUUGGUUCGAUGUCUUCUAAAGAAUAACGUGAACCAAAAGAGAGUAGAGUAUAUAGACAAUAUGAACAAACUCCUUGCCCACACAAAACUGCCACAAGCAUUUCAAUUGAAUACCAAUCUUGAUUCUUUGCGUACCUCUAAAUGUUCUUCUUUUUCAGAUAAUCACGGACAUCCAUCUCACAGACAAGGAUCUUCACAGCCUACGGGAGAAAAUUAGAAAAUGAUGCCUCAACAACAUGUAAAGCCCGAGGCAAGAGACCACUUCUUCACAAGAGCAGAUAACAAAAUGGCAAAUGGACAACGUCAAAUGAAAAAGCAUACCCUCUUGCAGCCUGAAUACACAAAGAAACCAAACUAAAUAAAGGUAUCAAUAUGUCUUCCUGCCUAUGUAAUGUGCAUAUUAAAUUGUGAUGGUAGGAGGGUUGUGCAGUUUUAUUGCAGUAUGGUAGUGGGCAGAGUUUGUGUCAACAAGAUUGUCAAGCAACGAGCAAUGACAUUUGUUGCAACAAAUUUCAUAAGGAGGUAAGUGAACAUUAUUUGCCUUAAGUGUGCUAAUAACCUGCAAAUUAAAUGCAGUUGUAAUGCAUUGUAUGAAGUGCUCAAAGAGUUGGAUGGUUAUGUAAUACAAAAAUCUUAGAGUAAUAAAGAUUUCAAAGUUUGUUUGGACGUUGCAUUUGAUCAACAUUUGCAAAUGUAUUUUUGUGCAUUCAUUAUUGAGCUCUUGCACAAAGGUAGAUUGUGCAUUCAUUAUUGAGCUCUUGCACAAAGGUAGAUUGUGUAUUACGUAUUAAAUGUGUAUUUCUUGGAUCACCCCUUACAAUGUUUUUGAAAAAAGUUAGCAGCAUGUCUUCUUUUGAAAAUAUUUGUUGUAAAAUUGCACAUAUUUCUAUUUUGUUUGGAAUAACAAUAGGUACAAAAAUAAUUGUUACUGCAUAGUAGAGGUAUGUUAACUAAAAAUGAUUACGAAAAUAAUAUGAAAAUGGUUAGAAAUGUACAGUGGUCAUGUCUUCUUGUAGAUUGAUAUCUUUGACAUGCACUUCAAGUUGAGUUUUGUUGAAAUAGUAUCUUGUGUCAAUCACUUUAAAGGAGCCAACUGAGUAACUGCAGUCUACUUUUAUCAGUUGAGAUAUAGUCAAGUUCAAAGUUAACUUGUGUUGGUUGCAAAUAGGUGGCACACUUUCAAUGAUACUUUUUGUAGUCAAGACAAUGUAACAAUCUAUCUUUCCUUGUUCAGUGUUGUGUUUUGUUCUUGAUUGAGAAAUUGGUUAUGUGAAUGCUAGAGCCAAUGGUGAUAUAGGACACGGAAAUGUCUAUUAAAUUGUUGUCAUUUGUCCAUUGGAGCCCACGAUGUCUACAUGCAUAAUUUCUAUUUGUUUUUUGUAAAUUGGUGUAUUUGUUGAAUGUAAGUCCAUAGAUGACAAGUAUAUCACCUUGAAACCCUCAAAUAUAGAUCCAAUUCUUCAAGGUGCUAUUCUUGUCAUCUAUGGACCUACAUCCAACAGAUACAGUAAUGUACAAAAUAUACAAAAAUUAUCCAUGGGGAACUUGUAGAUUCCAAAGGAUAAAUGACCAUAACCAUGAAUAUUAGCAACAACUUAAUAAACACUUUCCUGCCUAGUAUCACCAUUGGGUCCAACAUUCGGAUAACCAAUUUUUCAAUAAAAAACAAAACACAAUACAAAAAGAAGGACACAAAUUGUUGCAUUGUUUUAAUUGCAAAAAGUAUCAUUGAAAGUGUGCCAUGUGUUUGCAACCAACACAAGUUAACUCCCAACUUGACCAUUUCUUAACUAAUAGAAGUUGAUUGCAAUUACUCAAUUGGCUCCUUCGGAACAAUGACAAAUUACUGUGUUAACAAAACUUAACUUAAAGUGCAUGCCAAAAAUGACGAUCUGCAAAAAGACAUAGUUAUUGUACAUUUUCAAUCUUUUGCAUAUGAUUUUCAUAUUCAUAUUUAGUUAACAUACUACUAUGCACUAACAACUAUUUUUGCAGGUUGCUAUCUCGAAUAACAACACAAAAUUGUAUGCAAUUUUAUAACAAAUGCUUUCGAAAGUAAACAUGUUAGUGAUUCUUUUAAAAAACGUUGUAAGGAGUGGUCCAAGAGGUAGCCAUUUCAUAUGUAAUAAACAAUCUACCUUGGUACAAGACCUCAAAGGUGAAUGUACAAAGACACAUUUGCAAACGUUAGCCAAAUGCAAUGUCCAGGCAAGCUUUUAAAUCUUUAUUAUUUUAACUUAAGAUUUUCCUAUUGCAUAUUACAUCCAAAUCUUUGACCACUUCAUACGAUCCAUUACAAUUGCAUUUAAUUUGCAGGUUAUUGGCACACUUAAUGCAAAGAAUGUUCACUCACCUCAUGAGAUUUGUUGUAGUAAAUGUCACCAUUCGUUUGACAAUCUUGUUGACCCAAACACUACCCACUACUUGUAUUGCAAUAGAGCUAUACAACCAUCUUAUCAUUAUAAUGUAAUAUGCACACUACAUAGAUAAGAAAACAAUAUUGAUUUUUUGCCUACAAAAAGAACUUCUUGCCCAAAAUUUUCUAAAAAUUGUAGAGAUUUCAUAGGAAGAAUACAAGCAAGACAUUUCACUAUAGUAUUCAUGUGUAAAUUCUAGAUUUAUAGCUUAUUCACACUGGUUGUGAACAACACUUUUGUUCAAAUUGUUAAACACUAAGUAUACAUAAUUGUGAAUAACUUUGU